UGCAAGUCGUACGCGAAGACCCCGCAAGGGGUUGGUAGCGUGGCAAACGGGUGAGUAACGCGUGGGCGACCUGCCUUCGAGUGGGGGAUAACCUUCCGAAAGGAGGGCUAAUACCGCAUGACAUGCUCUGUUUAGAUACAGGGACAUCAAAGCCGGGGAUCGCAAGACCUGGCGCUUGAAGAGGGGCCUACGUCCGAUUAGCUAGUUGGUGAGGUAACGGCUCACCAAGGCUUCGAUCGGUAUCCGGCCUGAGAGGGCGGACGGACACACUGGGACUGAGACACGGCCCAGACUCCUACGGGAGGCAGCAGUAGGGAAUUGUUCGCAAUGGGCGCAAGCCUGACGACGCAACGCCGCGUGGAGGAUGAAGACCUUCGGGUCGUAAACUCCUUUCGACCAAGAUGAACACCUCUCGAUCUAAUACGUCGAGAGGCUGACAGUAUUGAGGGAAGAAGCCCCGGCUAACUCCGUGCCAGCAGCCGCGGUAAUACGGGGGGGGCAAGCGUUGUUCGGAAUUACUGGGCGUAAAGGGUUCGUAGGUGGCCAACUAAGUCAGACGUGAAAUCCCUCAGCUUAACUGGGGAACUGCGUCUGAUACUGGUCGGCUUGAGUGCAGGAGAGGAACGCGGAAUUCCAGGUGUAGCGGUGAAAUGCGUAGAUAUCUGGAGGAACACCGGUGGCGAAGCGGCGUUCUGGACUGCAACUGACACUGAGGAACGAAAGCCAGGGGAGCAAACGGGAUUAGAUACCCCGGUAGUCCUGGCCCUAACGAUGAAUGCUUGGUGUGGCGGGUAUCGAUCCCUGCGUGCCGUAUUAACGCGAUAAGCAUUCCGCCGGGGAUACGGCGCAAGG
rnacentral:rRNA from 1 species